AUCUCUACCAGGCAAGACUGGCAUUACAUGCAUGCACACACACCCAAGUACACUUCAGAUGAUAUUCAGGUACUCCAACAAAAGCAUUCGUUUUUAAAUAAAGGAACAGUAUUCUGCUAGAUACAGCACACUUUAACAGCAUUCUAAAUAAAGCGCAACAGAAUAACCUUUACCCCAAGUUCAGAACAGGGAAACAGGGCAGACUCAAAUCAAUGCCGACUGCUCCAGCUUCAAUGCAACAGUGAUAUGUGGGUGUGUACAGCCUAGAAUGCUCACAAGCAGAAUGAUUAACAGCUGGGACAACUAAGAGACCACACCAGUUGAGUUAUUACAGCAACAGCAUACAAUUUUAAUACCUGAAGGUGGAAAAUCCUUUACAGGUACUUAAUUUCACAAAAAUAGCCAGCAAAAUUAUAUCUUAGAAACGCAUCACUUCGUAAACUGUAUCCGACGUAUGAGAUGCAUGUCAUUAGAGCACGCACGUUUACACAAAUACAUACUUUAGGCUUUAUUUUUUUCGUAAGGAAUUAAGGCUGACUUGAAAUCAAAGCCAUCUAACUCGACAGUCUGUAAAAUCUUGCCAAAAUUAAUUCAAUAUCAAUUAACUCCACUCUGCAUAAAAUCAAGUACUUAAACGUCAAACAUCCCGUCUCAUCGCCGCGAGAGGGCGGCACCCCUAGGCUGGCCUUGCAAGCCAGGCCGCUCACUCGAUUAUAAAAUUUGCACUUAAUUACAAUUUAAUAUAAAAUGGUUUGUAAACACCCGACACGCCGAGAAUAAACUAUAAAUCUAUGGAUAAAAUCGCCACACACCACCGCAGCGGCAUUAGCCAACGUACUACUGGGCGGUGUUUCAGUCGCGGGCAAAAUCGUCAGGCGGCACAUUCAAACGAGGCCGCCCAGCCGUCCGCCAGUCAAGACAGCCGGCAGCCAAAAUGGCGCCGCCGCCGCAGCUCGCAUAUUACCGGCCGCCGGCAGGCUUGACAUAUUACGGACCCCCGAGCUAACAAGGUGGCUAACGCCACAAUCGAAACAGACAAAUCUAAAGCCAUUGACCACGAAAGUGCAAACCACAGCGAUACACUGCGACACGUUUGCCUGCAUGCAAGUAACGAGUACUGACAUGUUUUUCUUUGAAAGAAAACGACUUGAAUUAUGCAGUGCACAAACUGGACGUGCAGCUCGUCCACGAUGCCUUCGUUCCCCCCACCGAAAACCACCAUCAGCUCCUUGAUUGCCACCGCCCGGUGUCCAUGCCGAGGCCGGGGCACCGGGCCGGACCAGCCAAGGACCCGCUUCCAACGCGGCUGCAGG